rnacentral:tRNA from 1 species
GGGCCGUUAGCUCAGUCGGUAGAGCAGCGGACUUUUAAUCCGUUGGUCGAAAGUUCGAAUCUUUCACGGCCCACCA